GAGCCACGCCCUGACCGAGACCCCCUGCUUGCCCAGAGCCCCGCGGCCGGACCCCUCACUGCUCUGGCCUUGGCACCCACCCGGUCCUGCGCGUGCACCUGGCCUUCUUAACUCCCGGGAGCAGGCUCAGGCUUGGAAAUCGCCAGCACGUCUCAUCCCUGGUUCCGCCCCACCUGUUAGCGGUGCCUCAGGCUGGUGCCACGAUUGUUUUCUGACAAACGCCUGCGGGAAAAGGCUGGUCACAAAGAGUAGGUUCUGAGCCAGGUCAAAGGCAGAUACGCCUUGGCUGGAGGUUUCCAGGGAGCCCCCAGGCAGGCCGAAUACUUCAUGAAAUGAAAUACAGCCCUUCACGGGGCUUCGGGGAGUUCCAAACCUCUCUUUUCUCCCGCAGCUGCUAAGCUCUUUACUUCCGCAGCUGCCGUGUUUUGUUCUUGUCACUUCAGACGGAGGAGCAGACUCUUGGAGGCCCUUCUCUGCUGCUCCGGAAUUGCUUGCAAAAUUGUUGUGAUGCUUCCAGGCAGAGUCCAGCCCAAGACACCACAGGAAAAUGAAAGGGGAAAGGGGAAAAGUCAGACAUGUAAACCCCUUUUAAGGCAAAAUAGAAGUAAGUGGACCAAGAACCCAGCCAAGAGACCGAGGGCGAGGAAAACGGAACAGGGGGUGUAGGAGGAUGCUCCGACGCGGCCAGGCGACACGGAGGGCGGCUGGGUCGUCACUGAAAGCAGGCCAUCAGCUGAGCAAUCGCUGGCCGUCUGGAGAGGGCGGGUCGGCACAGCGGCGGUGCGGCCGAUCCUGGGAGGGGCGCCUGGGCAGAUGACUCUCGGGGACGCGUGUGAGCCGGGAGCCCCUUGGGUCUUGGGCUAAUAGGAAACAGAACAGAGCACGGUAAACAGGACGGAGCCUGUGGGUUCUUAUUUUUCUAGAACACGACAGCAGUCAUAAUGUCCUGUGAUAAGCCUCCUGGUUCAGCGGCUCCCCCUGUCAUGGGAUUGUUUAUGGUAGUGGUUCUUCUCCGUCUCUCCUUCUUUCUUCCCUCGAAGAAGGCUCACUUCAGAAUUUCAUAGAAACGGCGGAACCGCAUCGCCCCCAAGUGCGCACAUCCACAGACACCCACAGACCACGGGGAGAAGACUGCGGGAAUGGGACGGCGGACCGGUGUCGUCAUCGCUGACGGCCGCUGUGGUGCUGGGAGCCCCUCCUCGGUCCGUGUAUCUGUGGCUGGUGGGGGGACACGGCGCUAAAGGAAGCCCUUUGUUUUCAGGUCCACGCAGGUGGAAGUCGUGCCUAGAGCAGCGUUAAUAUUUUCAG